GAAGCAAGGGUCCUCGGCCGGAAUCUCCAUCAGUUCGCCGGAGGAAGAAGCGCCGAGUUCGCCGGAGGAACAAGAACGCCCGCCGAGUCCUGUGGUGGCUACACGAGAGGAUUCACAGUGACAUGGCCGCAACCAGCGAGGACACGAGCUCAUGAGGAUUGUUGCUGCUUCGGAGGACAUGGGAGCUGCCAUAGCCAGCGAGUACGUGAGCGCAUGCAGUCAGCGUCGCUUUAGAGGAUGCGAGAGCCAUCUCAGCUUGAGAGGAUGCGCAUACCAUCUCCAGGUAUAUAGCAGUAACAUCUCUCCCUAACUCCACUCCGAUAUGUAGCAUUUUUUUCUCUCCUAUUGUGAGACUGCAGUGUAUGCAACAAGUGUUCUUGUAAAUGUCUGAGCAUAAAGACUGCUCAUGGGUGAUGCUUCUGUGACCAAACCUCUAUGUAUGGCCUUUGCGGCCUUUCCUAUAAAUAAGUAUAUGUCAUCGCCAUAGUAAUUGUGUACUUCUCUAUUAGAAAAUCACAAGAUAGUUUCAGUGUUGUUGUUCUCAAUCAUGUUACCCUUAAGUGCAAGACAUCAAUGUGCUCUUAAGAGAAAGGGAAUUUUUGGCAGGAAAGAUGAUGCUUUGUUCAUCUGUUGUCGUUGUUUCCUCCCCGUGAAGGCCUCCCAAAUGUCAUCUCCUUCCCUUCUCUUGCUGCUCGCUGAAAUUGCUCCUACUGCUACCUUUGCAUGGUGAGGGAGUUCUGUGAAUACACUCCGAGGGCAGGGAUCCCAUUUCAGUGAAAUCAUGCUACUAUAACUUAAACACGCCAAGAAGACGAGAGAUAGUCCUUCGUUGGAGCGAUAUUUCUUCCAAGGAUGGUGGUUGGCAUGGAUCAGCACCAGUAAUACCCUGAAUUUUUUGAACUUGGCUCCUCUAGCCUAACUUGAUUAUGAAAGUUCCAGUCAAAUGAAUUUAUUAUGUAUUUUUGGCUUGGAGUUGAUCCCAAAAAAUAAAUUUCUUAUGCCUAUUUUACAAAGAAGA